CGUCGACCUCCGACGCGGUCACCGCGACGGCCUCCGGUGGCGUCGGCGGCAUGUCCGGCAGCCUCACGUUCGACGUGAGGUCGGUGGCC
rnacentral:tRNA from 1 species